rnacentral:lncRNA from 10 species
AUACUAGGGAAGGCAUCGAGCUUGAGGAAGAGGCCCCAUUCAUCUCCGUACCCCAGGCCCUGGUACACAGCAGGCAGCUCCAGGCGGGCACGCAUCUUUGUUGUGUUCUCUGCUGACUAUAUCCUCAGCACCUAGAACUGUGUCUGUCACCUAAUAGAUGCUCAAUAAACCUGCCAGUAAUUUCAGCAAAUGAAACGUGGAACACGUCAAGGCCAGAGGAUGGAAAAGGCUCCAGUUUUGAUAAAAGGAGGCCUGCUUGGCUUGGAAUCCUCUCUCCUGCUGGUUGGGAGAUGCAAAGAUGUUUCCAGAGAGGGGCUGAUGAAUUGAGGGGAAAGAAAUGAGCCCAGUAUGAGUCCCCUUUCAGGGCUGAGCGUGUAUAAAACCAAACAACUUGGAACCGCUCCAAGAGAGGGGAUUAAAGCAACAUGUUAUUCUGAGUGAUUGCUUAAUUUAUUGAGCUGCGGCUGGAUCUGUAAUGAAAUACAGCCCUUGUAACUGAUAACCUCCUGCUGCCAUUGAACUUCUACAAUUAAGGAAUAUUUUCUGAGUUUCUCUGGAACGGCUCUGAAUUUUUAGCCUCUGUGGUAGGGUGCUUCUGAACAUUUGUUUUCCAGGCAAUUUUUUUUGAGUAUUAGGCUGAUGUUAAUAAAUAAGCAGCAUUUUAUUGA